UACGUAGGGGGCGAGCGUUGUCCGGAUUUAUUGGGCGUAAAGCGCGUGUAGGCGGCUUGGCAAGUCGGGUGUGAAAGCCCUGGGCUUAACCUAGGAAGUGCACUCGAAACUGCCUGGCUUGAGUUCUGGAGAGGAAGGCGGAAUUCUCGGUGUAGAGGUGAAAUUCGUAGAUAUCGAGAGGAACACCGGUGGCGAAGGCGGCCUUCUGGACAGCAACUGACGCUGAGACGCGAAAGCGUGGGGAGCAAACAGG
rnacentral:rRNA from 1 species